GGAAUCUGUGUGUGUGAACACACAGGACACUAGAGCUGUCAGUUCUCGAGACACCAGGUGUGCGCGAGGUGAUUCCCAUGGACCCUGAGGGCUGGUGAUAGACUCGGGUCAACGGGUGGGGACCGGGUGUCUCAGGCCCCAGGCAGGCCCGGCCCUUCCUGACAUGACACCCCUUCCCCCAGAUUAUCCCUGGCGCUGGAGCCGGGCCGUCCCCAUGAACUCCGCACUCAUCAAGUGGCUGUACCUGCCUGAUUUCUUCCGGGCCCCCAACUCCACCAACCUCAUCAGCGACUUUCUCCUGCUGCUGUGCGCCUCCCAGCAGUGGCAGGUGUUCUCAGCUGAGCGCACAGAGGAGUGGCAGCGCAUGGCUGGCGUCAACACCGACCGCCUGGAGCCGCUGCGGGGG
rnacentral:lncRNA from 1 species